GAUGAACGCUGGCGGCGUGCCUAAUACAUGCAAGUCGAGCGAACAGACGAGGAGCUUGCUUCUCUGACGUUAGCGGCGGACGGGUGAGUAACACGUGGAUAACCUACCUAUAAGACUGGGAUAACUUCGGGAAACCGGAGCUAAUACCGGAUAAUAUUUUGAACCGCAUGGUUCAAUAGUGAAAGACGGUUUUGCUGUCACUUAUAGAUGGAUCCGCGCCGCAUUAGCUAGUUGGUAAGGUAACGGCUUACCAAGGCAACGAUGCGUAGCCGACCUGAGAGGGUAAUCGGCCACACUGAAACUGAGAACCGUUCCAGACUCCUACGGGAGGCACCAGUGGGGAAUCUUCCGCAUUGGGCGAAAGCCGGACGGAGCAACGCCGCGGGAGGGAUGAAGGUCUUCGGUUCGUAAACCUCUUUUAUAAGGAAAGACCAAUGUGGUAAGUAACGAUCAACGUCUGAACGUUACCUAAUCAGAAAGCAACGGCUAACUACGU
rnacentral:rRNA from 1 species